rnacentral:rRNA from 1 species
GACGAACGCUGGCGGCGUGCCUAAUACAUGCAAGUAGAACGCUGAAGAGAGGAGCUUGCUCUUCUUGGAUGAGUUGCGAACGGGUGAGUAACGCGUAGGUAACCUGCCUUGUAGCGGGGGAUAACUAUUGGAAACGAUAGCUAAUACCGCAUAACAAUGGAUGACACAUGUCAUUUAUUUGAAAGGGGCAAUUGCUCCACUACAAGAUGGACCUGCGUUGUAUUAGCUAGUAGGUGAGGUAACGGCUCACCUAGGCGACGAUACAUAGCCGACCUGAGAGGGUGAUCGGCCACACUGGGACUGAGACACGGCCCAGACUCCUACGGGAGGCAGCAGUAGGGAAUCUUCGGCAAUGGGGGCAACCCUGACCGAGCAACGCCGCGUGAGUGAAGAAGGUUUUCGGAUCGUAAAGCUCUGUUGUAAGUCAAGAACGAGUGUGAGAGUGGAAAGUUCACACUGUGACGGUAGCUUACCAGAAAGGGACGGCUAACUACGUGCCAGCAGCCGCGGUAAUACGUAGGUCCCGAGCGUUGUCCGGAUUUAUUGGGCGUAAAGCGAGCGCAGGCGGUUUGAUAAGUCUGAAGUUAAAGGCUGUGGCUCAACCAUAGUUCGCUUUGGAAACUGUCAAACUUGAGUGCAGAAGGGGAGAGUGGAAUUCCAUGUGUAGCGGCGAAAUGCGUAGAUAUAUGGAGGAACACCGGUGGCGAAAGCGGCUCUCUGGUCUGUAACUGACGCUGAGGCUCGAAAGCGUGGGGAGCGAACAGGAUUAGAUACCCUGGUAGUCCACGCCGUAAACGAUGAGUGCUAGGUGUUGGAUCCUUUCCGGGAUUCAGUGCCGCAGCUAACGCAUUAAGCACUCCGCCUGGGGAGUACGACCGCAAGGUUGAAACUCAAAGGAAUUGACGGGGGCCCGCACAAGCGGUGGAGCAUGUGGUUUAAUUCGAAGCAACGCGAAGAACCUUACCAGGUCUUGACAUCCCGAUGCUAUUUCUAGAGAUAGAAAGUUACUUCGGUACAUCGGUGACAGGUGGUGCAUGGUUGUCGUCAGCUCGUGUCGUGAGAUGUUGGGUUAAGUCCCGCAACGAGCGCAACCCCUAUUGUUAGUUGCCAUCAUUCAGUUGGGCACUCUAGCGAGACUGCCGGUAAUAAACCGGAGGAAGGUGGGGAUGACGUCAAAUCAUCAUGCCCCUUAUGACCUGGGCUACACACGUGCUACAAUGGUUGGUACAACGAGUUGCGAGUCGGUGACGGCAAGCUAAUCUCUUAAAGCCAAUCUCAGUUCGGAUUGUAGGCUGCAACUCGCCUACAUGAAGUCGGAAUCGCUAGUAAUCGCGGAUCAGCACGCCGCGGUGAAUACGUUCCCGGGCCU